rnacentral:rRNA from 1 species
AUGCAGUGCCACUUAGUUGGGUGUUCUACAAUGGAGCUUGACAGUCUAAGAGAGGCCUUUGACCGAGUUGUUGAAAAACGUGUGUUAUCUUCUACCAAAGUUCAGGAAGCUAUUGAUCAGAUAGUGGAUGAAGUUAAGCAGGUAAUAUCCAAGAUGCAGAUGAUGGAUACAGAUUCCAUGGACAGUUGUGACCAUUCACCCAUCCUUGCAGAAUUGAAGGCCAAGCUGAACGAAAUGGUGCCACUGAACCAACUCGAAGGCUGUCAAAAGGAAUUGAAUGUUGCACUGAGCAAAUAUCUCAAGGUUCUCGAGAAGUCUUUUAGUACAGAUAUAUCAAAGGCAUAUAGAAAUGUGGAUUUUGAGGCCAGCACAGUAAACAACAUAAUAGCGAAUCAUUUCUAUCGCCAGGGCCUCUUUGAUCUUGGAGACUCCUUUGUCCAUGAGUGCGGUGGAUCAGACGAGACUUACCUGAAAUUACCAUUUCAGGAGAUGUAUGGAAUACUUGAAGCGAUGAAAGGAAGAAACCUUGAGCCUGCACUCACUUGGGCUGCCAAUAACCAUGAUAAGCUGUUGCAGAAUAGCUCAAUGCUCGAGUUGAGGCUCCAUUCUCUUCAGUUUGUUGAGAUACUCACCAAAGGAAGCAGAGAUAAUGCUUUACAAUAUGCAAGGACUCACUUGGUGUCCUUUGCCUCCGUGCACAAGGCAGAGAUCCAGAAGCUAAUGGCUUGCCUGAUCUGGGCUGACCGGCUUGAACAGUCCCCGUAUGCCGAGUUUGUGUCAUUGGCGCACUGGGAGAAGCUAGCCGAGGAGCUAAUCCAUCAGUUCUGCAGCCUCUUAGGUCAGUCUAGCGAUAGCCCACUGAGUGUAGCCAUAUCAGCUGGUUUUCAAGGGCUACCAACCUUGUUGAAGCUAACCACGGUAAUGGCUGCCAAGAAGCAGGAGUGGCAGACCAUGAAGCAGCUUCCAGUACCCAUAGACAUUGGACCAGAGUUUCAGUACCACUCAGUCUUCGUUUGCCCGGUGCUCAGGGAGCAGUCGAGCGACGAGAACCCUCCGAUGCUGAUGCCCUGUGGACACGCCGUAUCAAAGCAGUCAAUCACGAAGCUAUCAAAGAGCAGCUCCAGACCUUUCAAGUGCCCUUACUGCCCCUCGGAGGCAGUAGCUUCGCAGUGCAAGCAGCUUCAUUUUUAA